rnacentral:tRNA from 1 species
GUUUAAGUAGUUUAAUUUAAAACACCAGUCUUGUAAACCGGAAAUAAAGGCUAACCCCCUUCUCAAACA